UUCUCUUCUCCCUACCACGGCGACGCAGCGUUCUCUUUCCCGUCCGCCGCCGGCGAGAUACACUGGCUGGAAAGCUGCGCCUGGUGACACAUUCGGAGUGCCCCGUCGCACCUUCUCGUCGUCGUGGCCGUACUCAUGCUCCUCCCAACCUUUCUUCUCCACCUAGUCCUCUCCUCCCUUUCUCCGCCCGGGGCGGCGGCGGCGGCCAGGCGAUGCGUUAAGGGGUCUCUACGGAGAUCGAGGGCGAGUGAUCCUCCAGGUAUAGGCCGUACAGCUGGAUCUGCAGUUUAGUGGGUGAGCUCUGGAACGCCACGAUGGUCGUCGUGCUGCUCCGCCGCACCAUCGUCGUGCUGCUCAUCGUCGUGUGAGGUGUGACCCGUGCUCGACGCUCAGGGUCGACGCCCACGCUGCCCUCGAGGGCGGCAGUCUGUACGAGGCCGUGGAGAUCCUUCAGAAGCUGAGGGAGGCGUUGUUCAAGCAUUGAGUGUUAACAACUGGUGGAGAGGAUAUCUGACCAACUAUGGUGAACCAAGCAAGCUGGUUUUCAGCUUGCAGGAUCCUAAACCUGUCCUCUGCAUGAAGGGUGAUGUUCAGGUCACUGUGGAACCGAAGGAGAGAAACAGGCACUGGGACUAUGAGGUGACUGCAUCCUUUGUUCAGAGAUCCUGUGCCAUAAAAAACCGAGCAGGCCACGUUGCAGCGCAGGUAAAAGCUCCACGUCCAGUACAAUGAAGUUUGGAGGAACUUAGGAGUAGAAUUACAUUAUGAUCCAAUGAGGGAUGCAAUUUUUUGUUCUUUGUCUUUGUGCACCACAGAAUGGUGUGAAGGGGAUGUUGGCAGGGAGGGACUUGUACCAAGUGGUGGUGCAACCAGGUUUAUGACCAGGCCUUUGUGGUUCAUAUACAUCUGCCGAUAAGAUUCAUUACAUUAGUAAUUUGUUAGGAUACAGUUGCGUAGCUUGAUUAUUUAUUGCACAUUACACUCUCUUUCGUUGAUAGAUUACCAUGUACAUGAUAUAUAUGAUAUGGAAAUGUGUUCUGCUGUAAA